AGAAUCAACGCUGGCGGCGUGCCUAACACAUGCAAGUCGCACGAGAAAGGGGAGCAAUCCCUGAGUACAGUGGCGCACGGGUGAGUAACACGUGAAUAAUCUACCUCCGAGUGGGGAAUAACUGAGAGAAAUCUUAGCUAAUACCGCAUAAUACCCACGGGUCAAAGCAGCAAUGCGCUUGGAGAGGAGUUCGCGGCAGAUUAGUUAGUUGGCGGGGUAAUGGCCCACCAAGACGAUGAUCUGUAUCCGGCCUGAGAGGGCGCACGGACACACUGGGAACUGAAACACGGUCCAGACUCCUACGGGAGGCAGCAGUGGGGAAUUUUGCGCAAUGGGGGAAACCCUGACGCAGCAACGCCGCGUGGAGGAUGAAGCCCCUUGGGGUGUAAACUCCUUUCGAUCGGGAAGAUAAUGACGGUACCGAUAUAAGAGCCCCGGCUAACUUCGCGCCAGCAGCCGC
rnacentral:rRNA from 1 species